rnacentral:rRNA from 1 species
UACGUAGGGUGCAAGCGUUACUCGGAAUUACUGGGCGUAAAGCGUGCGCAGGCGGUUUUGCAAGACCGAUGUGAAAUCCCCGGGCUUAACCUGGGAACUGCAUUGGUGACUGCACGGCUAGAGUGUGUCAGAGGGGGGUAGAAUUCCACGUGUAGCAGUGAAAUGCGUAGAGAUGUGGAGGAAUACCGAUGGCGAAGGCAGCCCCGUGGGAUAACACUGACGCUCAUGCACGAAAGCGUGGGGAGCAAACAGG